rnacentral:rRNA from 1 species
GAUGAACGCUGACAGAAUGCUUAACACAUGCAAGUCGAUGGGGAAGUGGUGCUUGCACCAUGGCAACCAUGGCGGACGGGUGAGUAACGCGUAAGGGACUUACCGGCAGGACUGGGAUAACAGGGGGAAACUCCUGACAAGACCGGUUAAUGUCAUGGAGCUGCAUGGCUUUAUGAUGAAAGUAGACGCCUGCGGAGAGCCUUGCGUCCUAUUAGCUAGUUGGUGAGGUAAUGGCUCACCAAGGCGCAGUUAGGUAGCCGGCCUGAGAGGGUGGACGGCCACGAGGGGACUGAGAUACGGCCCUUACUCCUACGGGAGGCAGCAGUGAGGAAUAUUGGACAAUGGGGGCAACUCUGAACCAGCAAUUCUGUGUGCACGAAGAAGGUUUUCGGAUUGUAAAGUGCUUUCAGAAGGGAAGAAGUAAGUGACGUUACCUGCAGAAGAAGCGACGGCUAAAUACGUG